GGUUAAGCGACUAAGCGUACACGGUGGAUGCCCUGGCAGUCAGAGGCGAUGAAGGACGUGCUAAUCUGCGAAAAGCGUCGGUAAGGUGAUAUGAACCGUUAUAACCGGCGAUGUCCGAAUGGGGAAACCCAGUGCAAUUCGUUGCACUAUCGUUAACUGAAUACAUAGGUUAACGAGGCGAACCGGGGGAACUGAAACAUCUAAGUACCCCGAGGAAAAGAAAUCAACCGAGAUUCCCCCAGUAGCGGCGAGCGAACGGGGAGCAGCCCAGAGUCUGAAUCAGCUUGUGUGUUAGUGGAACGGUCUGGAAAGUCCGACGGUACAGGGUGAUAGUCCCGUACACCAAAAUGCACAGGCUGUGAACUCGAAGAGUAGGGCGGGACACGUGGUAUCCUGUCUGAAUAUGGGGGGACCAUCCUCCAAGGCUAAAUACUCCUGACUGACCGAUAGUGAACCAGUACCGUGAGGGAAAGGCGAAAAGAACCCCGGCGAGGGGAGUGAAAAAGAACCUGAAACCGUGUACGUACAAGCAGUGGGAGCACCUUCGGGUGUGACUGCGUACCUUUUGUAUAAUGGGUCAGCGACUUAUAUUCUGUAGCAAGGUUAACCGUAUAGGGGAGCCGCAGGGAAACCGAGUCUUAACUGGGCGUUAAGUUGCAGGGUAUAGACCCGAAACCCGGUGAUCUAGCCAUGGGCAGGUUGAAGGUUGGGUAACACUAACUGGAGGACCGAACCGACUAAUGUUGAAAAAUUAGCGGAUGACUUGUGGCUGGGGGUGAAAGGCCAAUCAAACCGGGAGAUAGCUGGUUCUCCCCGAAAGCUAUUUAGGUAGCGCCUCGUGAACUCAUCUUCGGGGGUAGAGCACUGUUUCGGCUAGGGGGUCAUCCCGACUUACCAACCCGAUGCAAACUACGAAUACCGAAGAAUGUUAUCACGGGAGACACACGGCGGGUGCUAACGUCCGUCGUGAAGAGGGAAACAACCCAGACCGCCAGCUAAGGUCCCAAAGUCAUGGUUAAGUGGGAAACGAUGUGGGAAGGCACAGACAGCCAGGAUGUUGGCUUAGAAGCAGCCAUCAUUUAAAGAAAGCGUAAUAGCUCACUGGUCGAGUCGGCCUGCGCGGAAGAUGUAACGGGGCUAAACCAUGCACCGAAGCUGCGGCAGCGACACUAUGUGUUGUUGGGUAGGGGAGCGUUCUGUAAGCCUGCGAAGGUGUGCUGUGAGGCAUGCUGGAGGUAUCAGAAGUGCGAAUGCUGACAUAAGUAACGAUAAAGCGGGUGAAAAGCCCGCUCGCCGGAAGACCAAGGGUUCCUGUCCAACGUUAAUCGGGGCAGGGUGAGUCGACCCCUAAGGCGAGGCCGAAAGGCGUAGUCGAUGGGAAACAGGUUAAUAUUCCUGUACUUGGUGUUACUGCGAAGGGGGGACGGAGAAGGCUAUGUUAGCCGGGCGACGGUUGUCCCGGUUUAAGCAUGUAGGCUGGUUGUCCAGGCAAAUCCGGAUAAUCAAGGCUGAGGUGUGAUGACGAGGCACUACGGUGCUGAAGUAACAAAUGCCCUGCUUCCAGGAAAAGCCUCUAAGCAUCAGGUAACAUUAAAUCGUACCCCAAACCGACACAGGUGGUCAGGUAGAGAAUACCAAGGCGCUUGAGAGAACUCGGGUGAAGGAACUAGGCAAAAUGGUGCCGUAACUUCGGGAGAAGGCACGCUGGUGUGUAGGUGAAGUCCCUGCGGAUGGAGCUGAGACCAGUCGAAGAUACCAGCUGGCUGCAACUGUUUAUUAAAAACACAGCACUGUGCAAACACGAAAGUGGACGUAUACGGUGUGACGCCUGCCCGGUGCCGGAAGGUUAAUUGAUGGGGUUAUCCGUAAGGAGAAGCUCUUGAUCGAAGCCCCGGUAAACGGCGGCCGUAACUAUAACGGUCCUAAGGUAGCGAAAUUCCUUGUCGGGUAAGUUCCGACCUGCACGAAUGGCGUAAUGAUGGCCAGGCUGUCUCCACCCGAGACUCAGUGAAAUUGAACUCGCUGUGAAGAUGCAGUGUACCCGCGGCAAGACGGAAAGACCCCGUGAACCUUUACUAUAGCUUGACACUGAACAUUGAGCCUUGAUGUGUAGGAUAGGUGGGAGGCUUUGAAGCGUGGACGCCAGUCUGCGUGGAGCCAACCUUGAAAUACCACCCUUUAAUGUUUGAUGUUCUAACGUUGGCCCCUGACCGGGGUUGCGGACAGUGUCUGGUGGGUAGUUUGACUGGGGCGGUCUCCUCCCAAAGCGUAACGGAGGAGCACGAAGGUUAGCUAAUCCUGGUCGGACAUCAGGAGGUUAGUGCAAUGGCAUAAGCUAGCUUGACUGCGAGCGUGACGGCGCGAGCAGGUGCGAAAGCAGGUCAUAGUGAUCCGGUGGUUCUGAAUGGAAGGGCCAUCGCUCAACGGAUAAAAGGUACUCCGGGGAUAACAGGCUGAUACCGCCCAAGAGUUCAUAUCGACGGCGGUGUUUGGCACCUCGAUGUCGGCUCAUCACAUCCUGGGGCUGAAGUAGGUCCCAAGGGUAUGGCUGUUCGCCAUUUAAAGUGGUACGCGAGCUGGGUUUAGAACGUCGUGAGACAGUUCGGUCCCUAUCUGCCGUGGGCGCUGGAGAAUUGAGGGGGGCUGCUCCUAGUACGAGAGGACCGGAGUGGACGCAUCACUGGUGUUCGGGUUGUCAUGCCAAUGGCACUGCCCGGUAGCUAAAUGCGGAAGAGAUAAGUGCUGAAAGCAUCUAAGCACGAAACUUGCCCCGAGAUGAGUUCUCCCUGAGACUUUAAGUCUCCUGAAGGAACGUU
rnacentral:rRNA from 1 species